GCGUAGGUGGCCUAACAUGUCAACUGUGAAAACCCGGAGCUCAACUCCGGACUUGCAGUUGAAACUGGUAGGCUUGAGGACGGUAGAGGAAGACGGAACUGCCAGUGUAGGGGUAAAAUCCUUAGAUAUUGGCAGGAACGCCGGUGACGAAGGUGGUUUUCUGGGCCGGUUCUGACACUGAUGCUCGAAAGCCAGGGGAGCGAACGG
rnacentral:rRNA from 1 species